rnacentral:piRNA from 1 species
CCAAUGGGCACCUCAGCGUUGGCGU